rnacentral:pre_miRNA from 1 species
AGGAGGAACAACCCCAGUGGCGGGGCCAGCUCUGCAGCCCUGGAUUCAGCUCCGGCAGGAACUCCGUCUGCAGGGCCUGGAGGCUCCGGGCGGAG